UUGGAGGACCUCAUCUCUGGAAAUCUGUGA
rnacentral:piRNA from 1 species